GAUGAACGCUGGCGGCGUGCCUAAUACAUGCAAGUCGAGCGAACAGACGAGGAGCUUGCUCCUCUGACGUUAGCGGCGGACGGGUGAGUAACACGUGGAUAACCUACCUAUAAGACUGGGAUAACUUCGGGAAACCGGAGCUAAUACCGGAUAAUAUAUUGAACCGCAUGGUUCAAUAGUGAAAGACGGUUUUGCUGUCACUUAUAGAUGGAUCCGCGCCGCAUUAGCUAGUUGGUAAGGUAACGGCUUACCAAGGCAACGAUGCGUAGCCGACCUGAGAGGGUGAUCGGCCACACUGGAACUGAGACACGGUCCAGACUCCUACGGGAGGCAGCAGUAGGGAAUCUUCCGCAAUGGGCGAAAGCCUGACGGAGCAACGCCGCGUGAGUGAUGAAGGUCUUCGGAUCGUAAAACUCUGUUAUUAGGGAAGAACAAAUGUGUAGGUAACUAUGCACGUCUUGACGGUACCUAAUCAGAAAGCCACGGCUAACUACGCG
rnacentral:rRNA from 1 species